rnacentral:rRNA from 1 species
UCGGGAAUUUUGGACAAUGGGUGCAAGCCUGAUCCAGCCAUGCCGCGUGAGUGACGAAGGCCUUAGGGUUGUAAAGCUCUUUUGGCGGGGAAGAUAAUGACGGUACCCGCAGAAUAAGCUCCGGCUAACUUCGUGCCAGCAGCCGCGGUAAUACGAAGGGAGCUAGCGUUGUUCGGAAUCACUGGGCGUAAAGCGCACGUAGGUGGGCAGUUAAGUCAGGGGUGAAAGCCCGAGGCUCAACCUCGGAAUUGCCUCUGAUACUGGCUGUCUAGAGUUCGAGAGAGGUGAGUGGAAUUCCUAGUGUAGAGGUGAAAUUCGUAGAUAUUAGGAAGAACACCGGUGGCGAAGGCGGCUCACUGGCUCGAUACUGACACUGAGGUGCGAAAGCGUGGGGAGCAAACAGGAUUAGAUACCCCCGUAGUCCCUGAGCGGGCUGGCAAGGCGCAU